UCUGAGUAGAAGCACGGAACAAUAGAAUUCACUUAUCUCCCUUUUAUUAGCAUUGAAUGAAAUAGUCAAGAGCCUCUGCAGAAUUCUGGCGUUUCCUGCCACUACAAACCCUGAGAAUCCUGAACAUCUGACAUUAUGUGGCAACUGCACACUUGAUACAUUGAAGGUCAUCGUUUGUGGAAAGCACCGCAGAGAAUGGCUACAAACCCCAGCAAAAAUUUCCCUUACAGUUGUUACUGUGAAAGUGGUCAAAGUCCAGAGAAAAAUAAGAUGUCUGGGACGUUGGGGAGUUCCGAUGAUGUCUUCGAAGGCCAGCGGUGUUUGGAAUUGUCAAGCUUGGUAUUCUCUUCCUAGACCAGGCUAGCGUUGAAUUUGCUGGACAUCACUCUCUUUGGGCUCAGGAGUAGGACUGAUGUCUGACGGUGCAGAGGGAAAAGACUAGUUGUGUCUUCCGUCCUGAGACUGGAUUUUAAACUAAAAACAAUCAAGGGAGGAGAAACUGCGUCAGCGGGAAGGAAGGACCACAAUGACCUUCCUCUGUUACUGUCUGCCUGUUUUUUUUGCACGUGGCUGGGGGGGAUGGGCUGUCCGGGAAAGCCCCGCCCACAAUGAGAAGGUUGGGCUAGGUUCUGAAACAGUUGGUCUACCGCAGUGCUUGAAACCGUAGUUACUUAGUGCCUCGGAUUUAUUAAACAGCCGUCCCAAGCUUCGCUGUAGACGGGACGGCGCAUGUGAAUUGGAAGAUCAUUUUUCACUGGAUCCUGCCUCACGGUAUCUGGCAUUCGCAAUGCUUCGCGUGAAGGUUUUCACUAAUUGAACAUUCGCUCUAAAUUCCUCUGAGCCAGAUACCUUUUUUCAACAAUAUGUAAAGAGGACCUUUGCCCUUUGCUCUCUGUAGACAUAACAAAACCUAUUCCUGAACAGAACUGAGACCAGAUUUUGCAAUAAGCCAUGAUAAACUUAUUGUAUACACACGUGUUUAGAAACUGUGGGAAAAUACAGGAUACUUCUCUUUUCAACUCACUUGAACGGUAUUAUUUUGAGUCCUUAAGUGAAAGAAUGUAACUAUAAAAAUCAGGUCUCCCUUUUUCACGAUAAAAUGUGAUGCAGUCUUCCUGAAUAAAAGAAUUAUAUAUAUAUGUGUGUGUGUGUAU
rnacentral:lncRNA from 1 species